GUACCCUCAAGCUCUGCUUGGUGUUGGGUGUUUGUCCCGCCUCCGCGCGUGGACUCGCCUUAAAGUGAUUGGCAGCCGGAAUAAUUCUGGGGAACGCAGCACAACUGCAGCCUCCACGUUAGACUGAGCGUCCACAAGCCUUUUUUCAACGU
rnacentral:misc_RNA from 1 species